UGUCCUACGGGAGGCAGCAGUGGGGAAUAUUGGGCAAUGGGCGCAAGCCUGACCCAGCAACGCCGCGUGAAGGAAGAAGGCUUUCGGGUUGUAAACUUCUUUUGACAGGGAAGAGCAGAAGACGGUACCUGUCGAAUAAGCCACGGCUAACUACGUGCCAGCAGCCGCGGUAAUACGGAGGAUGCGAGCGUUAUCCGGAUUUAUUGGGUUUAAAGGGUGCGUAGGCGGAUCGUUAAGUCAGUGGUCAAAUUGAGGGGCUCAACCCCUUCCCGCCAUUGAAACUGGCGCUCUUGAGUG
rnacentral:rRNA from 1 species